rnacentral:Y_RNA from 1 species
GGCUGGUCCAAAGGUGGUGAGUUAUUUCAGUUGAUGGUUCACAGUCAGUUACAUACCCAACUCUUUGUUCUACUCUUUCUCUCCUCCUCACUACUGUACUUAGUCUUAA